rnacentral:rRNA from 1 species
AUCAACCGAGAUUCCCCCAGUAGCGGCGAGCGAACGGGGAGGAGCCCAGAGCCUGAAUCAGUGUGUGUGUUAGUGGAAGCGUCUGGAAAGGCGUGCGAUACAGGGUGACAGCCCCGUACACAAAAAUGCACAUAUUGUGAGCUCGAUGAGUAGGGCGGGACACGUGGUAUCCUGUCUGAAUAUGGGGGGACCAUCCUCCAAGGCUAAAUACUCCUGACUGACCGAUAGUGAACCAGUACCGUGAGGGAAAGGCGAAAAGAACCCCGGCGAGGGGAGUGAAAAAGAACCUGAAACCGUGUACGUACAAGCAGUGGGAGCCUCUUAAUGGGGUGACUGCGUACCUUUUGUAUAAUGGGUCAGCGACUUAUAUUCUGUAGCAAGGUUAACCGAAUAGGGGAGCCGAAGGGAAACCGAGUCUUAACUGGGCGUUAAGUUGCAGGGUAUAGACCCGAAACCCGGUGAUCUAGCCAUGGGCAGGUUGAAGGUUGGGUAACACUAACUGGAGGACCGAACCGACUAAUGUUGAAAAAUUAGCGGAUGACUUGUGGCUGGGGGUGAAAGGCCAAUCAAACCGGGAGAUAGCUGGUUCUCCCCGAAAGCUAUUUAGGUAGCGCCUCGUGAAUUCAUCUCCGGGGGUAGAGCACUGUUUCGGCAAGGGGGUCAUCCCGACUUACCAACCCGAUGCAAACUGCGAAUACCGGAGAAUGUUAUCACGGGAGACACACGGCGGGUGCUAACGUCCGUCGUGAAGAGGGAAACAACCCAGACCGCCAGCUAAGGUCCCAAAGUCAUGGUUAAGUGGGAAACGAUGUGGGAAGGCCCAGACAGCCAGGAUGUUGGCUUAGAAGCAGCCAUCAUUUAAAGAAAGCGUAAUAGCUCACUGGUCGAGUCGGCCUGCGCGGAAGAUGUAACGGGGCUAAACCAUGCACCGAAGCUGCGGCAGCGACACUAUGUGUUGUUGGGUAGGGGAGCGUUCUGUAAGCCUGUGAAGGUGGCCUGUGAGGGUUGCUGGAGGUAUCAGAAGUGCGAAUGCUGACAUAAGUAACGAUAAAGCGGGUGAAAAGCCCGCUCGCCGGAAGACCAAGGGUUCCUGUCCAACGUUAAUCGGGGCAGGGUGAGUCGACCCCUAAGGCGAGGCCGAAAGGCGUAGUCGAUGGGAAACAGGUUAAUAUUCCUGUACUUGGUGUUACUGCGAAGGGGGGACGGAGAAGGCUAUGUUGGCCGGGCGACGGUUGUCCCGGUUUAAGCGUGUAGGCUGGUUUUCCAGGCAAAUCCGGAAAACCAAGGCUGAGGCGUGAUGACGAGGCACUACGGUGCUGAAGCGACAAAUGCCCUGCUUCCAGGAAAAGCCUCUAAGCAUCAGGUAACAUCAAAUCGUACCCCAAACCGACACAGGUGGUCAGGUAGAGAAUACCAAGGCGCUUGAGAGAACUCGGGUGAAGGAACUAGGCAAAAUGGUGCCGUAACUUCGGGAGAAGGCACGCUGAUAUGUAGGUGAAGCGACUUGCUCGUGGAGCUGAAAUCAGUCGAAGAUACCAGCUGGCUGCAACUGUUUAUUAAAAACACAGCACUGUGCAAACACGAAAGUGGACGUAUACGGUGUGACGCCUGCCCGGUGCCGGAAGGUUAAUUGAUGGGGUUAGCGGUAACGCGAAGCUCUUGAUCGAAGCCCCGGUAAACGGCGGCCGUAACUAUAACGGUCCUAAGGUAGCGAAAUUCCUUGUCGGGUAAGUUCCGACCUGCACGAAUGGCGUAAUGAUGGCCAGGCUGUCUCCACCCGAGACUCAGUGAAAUUGAACUCGCUGUGAAGAUGCAGUGUACCCGCGGCAAGACGGAAAGACCCCGUGAACCUUUACUAUAGCUUGACACUGAACAUUGAGCCUUGAUGUGUAGGAUAGGUGGGAGGCUUUGAAGUGUGGACGCCAGUCUGCAUGGAGCCGACCUUGAAAUACCACCCUUUAAUGUUUGAUGUUCUAACGUUGGCCCGUAAUCCGGGUUGCGGACAGUGUCUGGUGGGUAGUUUGACUGGGGCGGUCUCCUCCUAAAGAGUAACGGAGGAGCACGAAGGUUGGCUAAUCCUGGUCGGACAUCAGGAGGUUAGUGCAAUGGCAUAAGCCAGCUUGACUGCGAGCGUGACGGCGCGAGCAGGUGCGAAAGCAGGUCAUAGUGAUCCGGUGGUUCUGAAUGGAAGGGCCAUCGCUCAACGGAUAAAAGGUACUCCGGGGAUAACAGGCUGAUACCGCCCAAGAGUUCAUAUCGACGGCGGUGUUUGGCACCUCGAUGUCGGCUCAUCACAUCCUGGGGCUGAAGUAGGUCCCAAGGGUAUGGCUGUUCGCCAUUUAAAGUGGUACGCGAGCUGGGUUUAGAACGUCGUGAGACAGUUCGGUCCCUAUCUGCCGUGGGCGCUGGAGAACUGAGGGGGGCUGCUCCUAGUACGAGAGGACCGGAGUGGACGCAUCACUGGUGUUCGGGUUGUCAUGCCAAUGGCACUGCCCGGUAGCUAAAUGCGGAAGAGAUAAGUGCUGAAAGCAUCUAAGCACGAAACUUGCCCCGAGAUGAGUUCUCCCUGACUCCUUGAGGGUCCUGAAGGAACGUUGAAGACGACGACGUUGAUAGGCCGGGUGUGUAAGCGCAGCGAUGCGUUGAGCUAACCGGUACUAAUGAACCGUGAGGCUUAACCUUACAACGCCGAAG